rnacentral:rRNA from 1 species
GUAUGGUGCAAGCGUUAUCCGGAUUUACUGGGUGUAAAGGGAGCGUAGACGGCUGUGUAAGUCUGAAGUGAAAGCCCGGGGCUCAACCCCGGGACUGCUUUGGAAACUAUGCAGCUAGAGCGUCGGAGAGGUAAGUGGAAUUCCCAGUGUAGCGGUGAAAUGCGUAGAUAUUGGGAGGAACACCAGUGGCGAAGGCGGCUUACUGGACGAUGACUGACGUUGAGGCUCGAAAGCGUGGGGAGCAAACAGGAUUAGAUACCCUGGUAGUCCACGCCAUAAACGAUGACUACUAGGUGUCGGGGAGCAAGGCUCUUCGGUGCCGCAGCAAACGCAAUAAGUAGUCCACCUGGGGAGU